GAAAAACUAAAUGGAAAAAGGUUUCUCAUUGUUCUGGAUGAUAUGUGGAAUGACAACUACAAAGAGUGGGAUGACUUGAGGAAUAUUUUUGUUCAAGGAGAUAUUGGAAGUAAGAUCAUUGUGACAACACGUAAAGAGAGUGUUGCCUUGAUGAUGAAGAGAGUGUUGCCUUGAUGAUGGGUAGUGGGGCAAUCAACGUGGGGACUCUGUCUGAUGAAGCCUCUUGGGCUUUAUUCAGACGACAUUCGUUAGAAAACAGGGAUCCUAUGGAACAUCCGGAACUUGAAGAGGUCGGAAAAAAUUGC
rnacentral:lncRNA from 1 species